GUGCAGACUAAAGCAGAACAAAUGCUAGAUUUUGAAACAUACCGAGAAGAUUAUCAUGGCCCUUGUGUAAAGGAUGGCACAUACAUUCAUAAAGAAUUCCCUUACAAA